ensembl:snRNA
GUGUCAUAUGAAAGGAGAGAAGUUUAGUGCUCCCUUUGAGAAAGCUGGAAGGGGCCCUCAGCCUGACACCACGCAUACAGUUAAGGCAUUGCCACCUACUUUGUGGCAUCAAAAGUAAAAUAUUUU